rnacentral:rRNA from 1 species
UCAGACGAUGCGUCAUGCAUAUCAAUAAGCGGAGGAAAAGAAACUAACAAGGAUUCCCCUAGUAACGGCGAGUGAAGCGGGAAGAGCUCAAAUUUGAAAUCUUAAAGGGUUUCCCUUUACGAAUUGUAGUUUAAAGAAGUGUUUUCUGUUGAGGUUUUGGUAAAAGUUCUUUGGAAUAGGACAUCAUAGAGGGUGAGAAUCCCGUAUUUGACCUUUACUUUCAACUUUGUGAUACACUUUCAAAGAGUCGGAUUUUGGGAAUGCAGUCCAAAAUGGGUGGUAAAUUUCAUCUAAAGCUAAAUAUUGGCGAGAGACCGAUAGCGAACAAGUACCGUGAGGGAAAGAUGAAAAGAACUUUGAAAAGAGAGUUAAACAGUACGUGAAAUUGUCAAAAGGGAAGCGUUUGACACCAGUGUUGUUUUUCUGAAAAUCAAUUAAAGAACUGUUUAUGCUAAGCUGUUUAGACUUUAUCAGCUAUACUGUUUAGUUUUGAGCUUUUCUUUAAUGCACUUUUCAGUUAACAAGUCAACAUCAAUUUCUUUUGCUGUAAAAAAGCUUGAGGAAGGUGGCUUGAGAUUCGUCUUAAGUGUUUAUAGCCUCUUGCCUAUGCAGUCGGAGAGAUUGAGGUCUGCAGCGUAGAUCCUUCGGGGCUAAAUGCAUUUGUGCUAAGUUAUAGCAUUUUAUAGACAACUUGUUGACUAUGAUUUGUCUUGUAGCUUACUCGCUUAUGUUAUUUUACCUACGCUUAGGAUGUUGAGCGCAUGUCUCUCUCU